rnacentral:rRNA from 1 species
UUCUUUUUCCACCGGAGCUUGCUCCACCGGAAAAAGAAGAGUGGCGAACGGGUGAGUAACACGUGGGUAACCUGCCCAUCAGAAGGGGAUAACACUUGGAAACAGGUGCUAAUACCGUAUAACAAUCAAAACCGCAUGGUUUUGAUUUGAAAGGCGCUUUCGGGUGUCGCUGAUGGAUGGACCCGCGGUGCAUUAGCUAGUUGGUGAGGUAACGGCUCACCAAGGCCACGAUGCAUAGCCGACCUGAGAGGGUGAUCGGCCACAUUGGGACUGAGACACGGCCCAAACUCCUACGGGAGGCAGCAGUAGGGAAUCUUCGGCAAUGGACGAAAGUCUGACCGAGCAACGCCGCGUGAGUGAAGAAGGUUUUCGGAUCGUAAAACUCUGUUGUUAGAGAAGAACAAGGAUGAGAGUAACUGUUCAUCCCUUGACGGUAUCUAACCAGAAAGCCACGGCUAACUACGUGCCAGCAGCCGCGGUAAUACGUAGGUGGCAAGCGUUGUCCGGAUUUAUUGGGCGUAAAGCGAGCGCAGGCGGUUUCUUAAGUCUGAUGUGAAAGCCCCCGGCUCAACCGGGGAGGGUCAUUGGAAACUGGGAGACUUGAGUGCAGAAGAGGAGAGUGGAAUUCCAUGUGUAGCGGUGAAAUGCGUAGAUAUAUGGAGGAACACCAGUGGCGAAGGCGGC